GACGAACGCUGGCGGCGUGCUUAACACAUGCAAGUCGAACGGUGAUGCUCCAGCUUGCUGGCGUGGAUCAGUGGCGAACGGGUGAGUAACACGUGAGCAACCUGCCCCAGACUCUGGAAUAAGCGCUGGAAACGGCGGCUCAUACUGGAUACGAAACUGGCCCGCAUGGGCAUGGUUUGGAAAGUUUUUCGGUUUGGGAUGGGCUCGCGGCCUAUCAGCUUGUUGGUGAGGUAAUGGCUCACCAAGGGGACGACGGGUAGCCGGCCUGGGAGGGCGACCGGCCACACUGGGACUGAGACACGGCCCAGACUCCUACGGGAGGCAGCAGUGGGGAAUAUUGCACAAUGGGCGAAAGCCUGAUGCAGCGACGCCGCGUGAGGGAUGACGGCCUUCGGGUUGUAAACCUCUUUCAGCAGGGAAGAAGCGAAAGUGACGGUACCUGCAGAAGAAGCACCGGCUAACUACGUG
rnacentral:rRNA from 1 species